rnacentral:rRNA from 1 species
UGGGGAAUUUUGCACAAUGGGGGAAACCCUGAUGCAGCGACGCCGCGUGAUUUAGAAGGCCUUCGGGUUGUAAAAAUCUUUUGUAUGGGAAGAAAAUGACAGUACCAUACGAAUAAGGACCGGCUAACUACGUGCCAGCAGCCGCGGUAAUACGUAGGGGGCUAGCGUUAUCCGGAUUUACUGGGCGUAAAGGGUGCGGAGGUGGUCUUUCAAGUCGGUGGUUAAAGGCUACGGCUCAACCGUAGUUAGCCUCCGAAACUGGAAGACUUGAGUGCAGGAGAGGAAAGUGGAAGUCCCAGUGUAGCGGUGAAAUGCGGAGAUAUUGGGAGGAACACCAGUAGCGAAGGCGGCUUUCUGGACUGCAACUGACACUGAGGCACGAAAGCGUGGGUAGCAAACAGG